rnacentral:rRNA from 1 species
AGUUUGAUCCUGGCUCAGAUUGAACGCUGGCGGCAGGCCUAACACAUGCAAGUCGAACGGUAACAGAGAGUAGCUUGCUACUUUGCUGACAAGUGGCGGACGGGUGAGUAAUGUCUGGGGAUCUGCCUGAUGGAGGGGGAUAACUACUGGAAACGGUAGCUAAUACCGCAUAAUGUCGCAAGACCAAAGCGGGGGACUUUCGGGCCUCGCACCAUCAGAUGAACCCAGAUGGGAUUAGCUAGUAGGUAAGGUAAUGGCUUACCUAGGCGACGAUCCCUAGCUGGUCUGAGAGGAUGACCAGCCACACUGGAACUGAGACACGGUCCAGACUCCUACGGGAGGCAGCAGUGGGGAAUAUUGCACAAUGGGCGCAAGCCUGAUGCAGCCAUGCCGCGUGUAUGAAGAAGGCCUUCGGGUUGUAAAGUACUUUCAGUCAGGAGGAAGGGUGUGAAAUUAAUACUUUCAUGCAUUGACGUUACUGACAGAAGAAGCACCGGCUAACUCCGUGCCAGCAGCCGCGGUAA